AGCGAACGCUGGCGGCAGGCCUAACACAUGCGAGUCGAACGAACUCUUCGGAGUUAGUGGCGGACGGGUGAGUAACACGUGGGAACGUGCCUUUUGGUUCGGAAUAACUCAGGGAAACUUGUGCUAAUACCGAAUGUGCCCUUCGGGGGAAAGAUUUAUCGCCAUUAGAGCUGCCCGCGUCUGAUUAGCUAGUUGGUGAGGUAACGGCUCACCAAGGCGACGAUCAGUAGCUGGUCAGAGAGGAUGACCAGCCACACUGGGACUGAGACGCGGCCCAGACUCCUACGGGAGGCAGCAGUGGGGAAUCUGGCACAAUGGGCGAAAGCCUGACGCAGCCAUGCCGCGUGAAUGAUGAAGGUCUUAGGAUUGUAAAAUUCUUUCAACGGGGACGAUAAUGACGGUACCCGGAGAAGAAGCCACGGCUAACUUCGUG
rnacentral:rRNA from 1 species